AGAGAAUAGAUACCCGGGUAGUCCACGCCGUAAACGAUGGAUGCUAGCCGUCGGAUAGCUUGCUAUUCGGUGGCGCAGCUAACGCAUUAAGCAUCCCGCCUGGGGAGUACGGCCGCAAGGUUAAAACUCAAAGGAAUUGACGGGGCCGCACAAGCGGUGGAGCAUGUGGUUUAAUUACGACGCAACGCGAAGAACCUUACCAGCUCUUGACAUUCACUGAUUGCCUGGAGAGAUCCGGGAGUCCUAGCAAUAGGCAGUGGGACAGGUGCUGCAUGGCUGUCGUCAGCUCGUGUCGUGAGAUGUUGGGUUUAAGUCCCGCAACGAGCGCAACCCUCGCCAUUAGUUGCCAUCAUUCAGUUGGGCACUCUAGUGGGACUGCCGGUGAUAAGCCGGAGGAAGGUGGGGAUGACGUCAAGUCAUCAUGGCCC
rnacentral:rRNA from 1 species